AUUGAACGCUGGCGGCAGGCCUAACACAUGCAAGUCGAACGAGUGGCGGACGGGUGAGUAAUGUCUGGGAAACUGCCUGAUGGAGGGGGAUAACUACUGGAAACGGUAGCUAAUACCGCAUACCAUCGGAUGUGCCCAGAUGGGAUUAGCUAGUAGGUGGGGUAAAGGAUCACCUAGGCGACGAGCACUAGAUGGGCUGAGAGGAUGACCAGCCACACUGGAACUGCGACACGGUCCAGACUCCUACGUGAGGCAGCAUUGGGGAAUAUUGCACAAUGGGCGGAAGCCUUAUGCAGCCAUGCCGCGUGUAUGAAGAAGUCCUUCGGGUUGUAAAGUACUUGCAGCGGGGAGGCGUUACCCGCAGAAGAAGCACCGGCUAACUCCGUGCCAGCAGCCGCGGUAAUUC
rnacentral:rRNA from 1 species